rnacentral:rRNA from 1 species
GAUGAACGCUGGCGGCGGUGCUUAACACAUGCAAGUCGAACGGGACUCAUAGGAGUCAAGGAUUCGUCCAAGUGAAUAUGAGUUUAGUGGCGGACGGGUGAGUAACGCGUGAGGAACCUGCCUCGGAGUGGGGAAUAACAGUUGGAAACAGCUGCUAAUACCGCAUGAUGCAUAUUGAUCGCAUGGUCGAUAUGCCAAAGAUUUAUCGCUCUGAGAUGGCCUCGCGUCUGAUUAGCUAGUUGGUGGGGUAAAGGCCUACCAAGCCGACGAUCUAUAGCUGGUCUGAGAGGACGAACAGCCACAUUGGAACUGAGACACGGUCCAG